rnacentral:rRNA from 1 species
CCUACGGGAGGCAGCGGUGGGGAAUAUUGCGCAAUGGGCGAAAGCCUGACGCAGCGACGCCGCGUGAGGGAUGACGGUCUUCGGAUCGUAAACCUCUGUCAGCAGGGAAGAACGGUCACUGUGCUAAUCAGCAGUGAAUUGACGGUACCUGCAAAGGAAGCACCGGCUAACUCCGUGCCAGCAGCCGCGGUAGUACGGAGGGUGCGAGCGGUAAUCGGAAUUACUGGGCGGAAAGCGCUCGUAGGCGGUAUGUCAAGUCAAGGGUGAAAUCCCCGCGCUCAACGUGGGAACUGCAUUUGAAACUGGCAAACUGGAGUGUGUGAGAGGAGAGUGGAAUGCCAGGUGUAGUGGUGAAAUGCGUAGAUA